GAUGAACGCUGGCGGCGUGCCUAAUACAUGCAAGUCGAGCGAAUGGAUUAAGAGCUUGCUCUUAUGAAGUUAGCGGCGGACGGGUGAGUAACACGUGGGUAACCUGCCCAUAAGACUGGGAUAACUCCGGGAAACCGGGGCUAAUACCGGAUAAUAUUUUGAACUGCAUGGUUCAAAAUUGUAAGGCGGCUUCGGCUGUCACUUAUGGAUGGACCCGCGUCGCAUUAGCUAGUUGGUGAGGUAACGGCUCACCAAGGCAACGAUGCGUAGCCGACCUGAGAGGGUGAUCGGCCACACUGGACUGAGACACGGCCCAGACUCCUACGGGAGGCAGCAGUAGGGAAUCUUCCGCAAUGGACGAAAGUCUGACGGAGCAACGCCGCGUGAGUGAUGAAGGCUUUCGGGUCGUAAAACUCUGUUGUUAGGGAAGAACAAGUGCUAGUUGAAUAAGCUGGCACCUUGACGGUACCUAACCAGAAAGCCACGGCUAACUACGUGCCAGCCGCCGCUGUAA
rnacentral:rRNA from 1 species